rnacentral:rRNA from 1 species
CCCUUAGAUGUUCUGGGCUGCACGCGCGCUACACUGACGUACGCAACGAGUGUCCUUUACCGAGAGGUAUGGGUAAUCAUUUGAGUGUACGUCGUGAUGGGGAUAGAAUAUUGUAAUUAUUACUCUUCAACGAGGAAUUCCUAGUAAGCGCAAGUCAGCAGCUUGCGCUGAUUACGUCCCUGCCCUUUGUACACACCGCCCGUCGCUCCUACCGAUUGAAUGCUCAGGUGAGCCAUUCGGACUUUCAUCAUGCUGGUUUCCAGUUUUGAUGAAGGAAAGUCUUGCGAACCUUAUCAUUUAGAGGAAGGAGAAGUCGUAACA